rnacentral:rRNA from 1 species
CGGCCUUGACAUACUAAGAACUUUCCAGAGAUGGAUUGGUGCCUUCGGGAACUUAGAUACAGGUGCUGCAUGGCUGUCGUCAGCUCGUGUCGUGAGAUGUUGGGUUAAGUCCCGNAACGAGCGCAACCCUUUUCCUUAUUUGCCAGCGGGUCAUGCCGGGAACUUUAAGGAUACUGCCAGUGACAAACUGGAGGAAGGCGGGGACGACGUCAAGUCAUCAUGGCCCUUACGGCCAGGGCUACACACGUGCUACAAUGGUCGGUACAAAGGGUUGCUACCUCGCGAGAGGAUGCUAAUCUCAAAAAGACCGAUCGUAGUCCGGAUCGCAGUCUGCAACUCGACUGCGUGAAGUCGGAAUCGCUAGUAAUCGCGGAUCAGAAUGCCGCGGUGAAUACGUUCCCGGGCCUUGUACACACCGCCCGUCACACCAUGGGAGUUUGUUGCACCAGAAGUAGGUAGUCUAACCGCAAGGAGGACGCUUACCACGGUGUGGCCGAUGACUGGGGUGAAGUCGUAACAAGGUAGGCGUAGAUGA